CCUACGGGUGGCAGCAGUGGGGAAUAUUGGACAAUGGGGGCAACCCUGAUCCAGCAAUUCUGUGUGCACGAAGAAGGUUUUCGGAUUGUAAAGUGCUUUCAGCAGGGAAGAAGGAAGUGACGGUACCUGCAGAAGAAGCGACGGCUAAAUACGUGCCAGCAGCCGCGGUAAUACGUAUGUCGCAAGCGUUAUCCGGAAUUAUUGGGCAUAAAGGGCAUCUAGGCGGCCAGACAAGUCUGGGGUGAAAACUUGCGGCUCAACCGCAAGCCUGCCCUGGAAACUGCCUGGCUAGAGUGCUGGAGAGGUGGACGGAACUGCACGAGUAGAGGUGAAAUUCGUAGAUAUGUGCAGGAAUGCCGAUGAUGAAGAUAGUUCACUGGACGGCAACUGACGCUGAAGUGCGAAAGCUGGGGGAGCGAACAGGAUUAGAUACCCUUGUAGUC
rnacentral:rRNA from 1 species